AGUCUUUGUGUGUAAUAGCCUGGCUGUCCUGGAACUUGGUAGAUCAGGCUGGCCUCAAACUCACAGACUCACAGAUAUCUGCUUGUCUCUGCCUUCUGAGCGCUGGAACUAAAGCGCUGCAAGGUUCCAGAAGGAUCUGCAUUUGAGCAUCUCUAAAGGGAGCCCCUGGCAGUCUCUGGACACCCCCUACAAAGCCAUGGAGUCAGCACCCAGUCAGGAUAUCUAGGCUGAGUGGGGCUUGUGGCAGCUGUUCUACUAAAGACCACAGAGCAAUUUUCCCAUCGUUCCUGGUAAUCUGGAGUGACACGAAGCGUUUCCCCAGAGCUGAGGUACGAACUGGCUUGGCUCCAGUUUACAAAGAAAGAAACAAAAGUCAUCACCAUCCACAACAGCAAAACACGGGAAAAAA